GCUCUAGAUCAAGCAAUUAAAAAUAAGCAGUGGUGUAGAUGAACAAGCUUUGAGAAACAAGAGUGUAGUUAUUUCCCCUAGAAAUACUGAAGAGUGUAUGUUGCUUAGUAAUAUGUUGUGUCAGAUAAAAAAGUAAAAAAAAUUUUGUGGCUAGAUAAAAUAACAUUAAGCAAUUAUGAAUGCAUGAUUUUUAUAAUUUAUUUGUAUCAUAGAUUCAUUAGUAUCCUUUGAAAAACACAUGUUUAGCUUUCUGACACAGUAAGAUUCAACAAUUUAUACAACCAAUUAUGAGGUAUGAUAUCUGUACAGAAAUAAUCAAUAGCUCUACAACCAAAGAUAAAAAACAAACAAACAU